CACCCCUCGGCCCGCGGGGCUGCAGCGAGCGGUGCCUCCGCCGGGGGGCGCCGUGGCGCCCCGGAGCCCCAAUCCCGCCUUCCGCGUCCGCCAAAUCCGGCUAGCGGGGGAAUAGCGGCGCUUGCCCAGGAUCCUAAAACUGAAGAAACGGAGAGGCGGUCGCUGCCUGUUGGUUAGUGGACCAGACUUGUGGCUCCCCGAGGCCUGGCUUCCAAGCUCAACGUCACCACGUGGUUUUCUGCGCCCAGGCACUGUCCUCUCAUACGCAUUAUUUCAUGUCAUCCUCUUAAUCCCAUGAGUCAUAUGGCUAUGAGGAGAGAUGUCAAGUGGGGAUGAAGGUCAGACCUGGAGGUGACUCAGAGCCCUAGACGAAAUUCUGAUCUGACUUCCGUUGUUCGUCACCGUUCACUGUGUCCGAGGCCCUCGGAGUCCACUUCCCAAAUGGUUUAACAGCAAUGACCUGGUAAGGCCUCCAGUGUUCAGAAUAAUGCCCUAAAUGGGGAUCUUUCAAAAUCUUUUGCCGGCAGGGCAGGUUCUUCUGUCUUUCUCAGAGUAUUAUAUAUUCUGAAAACAGUAGAAUAUGUAAUUUACAGAUAAUGAAAUCAAGGGGAUAGAUUAGAAGUUGACCAAGGUCACUCAGGUGGGUUGUGAGACAACAGAUGUCCGAACCCAGAAUUCCCAGCCCCUGGAACAAUCCUCCUCACAGGACAAAUCCACAAGCAACAGUAGUUUGCGAAGUGCCUCCCGAGAGCAGACACUGAGAC